CUAAUUUAUAGGUUGAUAACUCAACGUAUCGAGAAGUAAUCUGAUAAGUAAUCAGAUUAAUCCAAUUUGAUGGAGAACAUCGAAAUAAAUAAGAUUGUUUAUCUGAUUAAUAAUCUAGGUUGUCAAGGAACAUACGGAUUGUUGAUGAGUAUACCACCGUUUUAGAAAAGAAGUUGGAAGAAAUAAUGUACUGAGUAUAAUUUAAUUUAGUUUAUAUCUAUAUGUAACUAUAAAUCAUUGCUAUUGAAAAACGAUUCUAAGCAGAUGAUUAUUUGUUAUAAUUUUACCCUUUUUUCAAUGUAACCCAAAAAUCAACAAUAAUUAUACCAAAUAAUCUCAAUUUUUCUAUUUAUUUAGACAAUCACAAAGAGCUGAUAUACUGCUGAUGGGUGCGUCACUGUUACAGAUAGAAAGUUUCACUGAAAUACAAUAAAAAAAUCAAAAUCAAGUAUAAAAGACGUUUUUCUUGAUUUCCCCCCAUUAUUAAGAGCGUAACAAGGAAAAUAAUCUUCUCACUGUACCGACUAAACAAUACCCAUUUUCAACUAAAAUUCAUCCUCCCUAAAGUUGAUAAUUUUGGCCAAAUGUUUGGUAGAAAAGUUGUUUAUAGACAGAAAAAAUAGCUAGUACUGUAGAUGGGUGUGUCACUGUCGUAGGUGGGAAGUUAGGAAAUUAAGGUACAUAAUGUUAUUUAAAUUAUAUCUGUAAGCAAUGGUGAACUAUUGUUAACGAAAGACGAUUCUUAGAGAACAUACAUUAUUUUUAAAUAUCGUAAUAUUUACGAUUUUCAUAUAAAUUUGAUUUUAAAAAACUUAAAUAUUACGCCAAACUAUUUUUUUCAACUUAUA